CUAACCCCUCCCCUUUCACUGCAAGCUCUGCCCCUAUCUCCUCCCCUUUCACUGCAAGCUCUGCCCCUUUCACAGCAAGCCCCGCCCAUAUCCCCUCCCCUUUCACAGCAAGCCCCGCCCCAUCCCCUCCCCUUUCACUGCAAGCCCCGCCCCUUUCACAGCAAGCCCUGCCUCUAUCUCCUCCCCUUUCACAGCAAGCCCCACCCCUAUCUUCUCCCCUUUCACUGCAAGCCCCGCCCCUUUCACGACAAGCCACGCCCCUAUCCCCCUCCCCUUUCACUGUUAGCCCCACCCCUUUCACAGCAAGCCCUGCCUCUAUCUCCUCCCCUUUCACAGCAAGCCCCACCCCUAUCUCCUCCCCUUUCACAGCAAGUCCCGCCCCUAUCUCCUCCCCUUUCACAGCAAGUCCCGCCCCUAUCUCCUCCCCUUUCACAGCAAGCCCCGCCCUGGUCUCCUCCCCUUUCACAGGAAAUCACACCCCUUUCUCCUCCCCUUUUACUGCAAACUCCACUCCCAUCUCUUCCUCUUUCCAAGCAGAUUCUAUGCAACCUCUCCCCUUACAGACAAAUCUCCAUCCUGACUCCUCCCCUUUCACUGCAGAUUCAACCCAAACUCCUUCCCUUUUACAGCAAACCCUGCCCCUUUCAUGGCAAACUCUGCCCCUUUCUCCUCUCCUUUCAGAGCAAACCCUGCCCCUAUCUCCUCCCCUUUCACAGUACAAACCCAAUCCCAGCCUCUCCCCUUCACAGAGGCUGAAAGGUAGGUGUCACUCACUAACCUGAGCUCCUUCCCUGGUGGGUGCACCUCGUUUUUAUUGGUUACUCAAACAUCAGGGCGGGAUGCCUGUCUGGACUCACACUUGAGUGACACUUAAUUUCUAACUGAUUAAUAAAUAUCACGCGCUGCGUCUGCUUUAUCAUCCUGUAUUUAUUUUGCAGCGGCUGGUAUCCGGGGAAACCAAAUGUUCAUUUAUUGUCAGACGGACUUGCACGUUGGUUUCGCGUUCCAAGAAAAACGUGCUAUUUUAACUCCAAUCCCCCACUUACCUCACACUUCAUUUUUCAGCAGAUGAGACAAAGUCAGACGGCUAAAUUUAACCUCUCCCACCGAACAGAAACAAAACGUUUCAGAGUCAAAACAUGUGUUCUUCUCCUUAUUGUUCAUGGUGGUGCAGCCAGUAUAAGCACCGUCGUGGACAGGGCUGUCUGUGAGGAGCUCUCGCGUUCGGCUAUAUUGGGGGAGAGAGAGAGAGAGAGAGAGAGAGAGAGACUGAGAGAGAGAGAGAGAGAGAGAGACUGAGCUGCUCUCGUCCCGCGACCAUGAAAGGAGAGGCAGCUUCCCGUCCUUUAGCGCCUGCCGCUAACGCCUCUCAGUGUUUGGGUUUCUCCUGGGAGAGCAGCGCAUGUGGAGUUAAACCAAAGUCACUGUGGGUCAUUAAUCUGUUACAACACACUUUUAAGUUCAAAUUGGCACAUAGGCAAUGUAUACAGAGCCGGUUUCAGUUUAAUGGAUGUUAAUAGAUGUUGGAAUAAAUGCUGAUAGAUGUUGGAAUGCUUUGGUGUGCACUUCAUGUGCAUCUCUACAGAUGAACUUGACGGUGUCUGUUUGUCUGAUGGGUGUCCGAUCGUCUGACGGGGGUUGUUGGUGUGUGAUGAGAAGCUGUAAUCCCGGCCGGCUGUGGCCCUCCCCUCCCUGGGUGAGGCUGGAUCCAAUCAUGUGACACUCAGCGAGGAUGCCACCCACAGUCAGUAUUGGCUGUGGUCCGGAUCAGAUACCAGACCGUGGGGCCCGUCCGUGCACUACCACAGUGCUUUAACUGAAUGAGCCACCCAGCAGCCCCAAGGUUGGCCUUGUUGAACAUACAUAAUACUGACUGGUUCAGUUCAGCUUCAGGGUGGACUCCCAUCAUCCUAUUGGCUAUGCUGAUGCUCUACCUGUGUCAGCAUGCUAGCAUUACUAGUCCAGGCAGACUGCUAUCAAUUCUGUGAGUGGUGUUCCCCAGCGACCAUCACAGCUAAACUAGAGGGGAUAAGGACCAGUCAAUCACUGGCCUCAGCAGAUGGCCAAGAAGGUCUCAGUAAAGAAAAGCAGGACUAAGUAAAAAAAGAGAGUAAUGGAUUAUAGAAUUCUAGGAAAAGCCUCUGCCUUGAAUUCCAGGAGUGUUUCAGGCAGUCUUGAUCUGGGCAGGUGCCAUUAUUUAGGAGUGGCAGGUGGAAUGUGGAGCACUUGGGACAAAAUGAGCUUCACUGGCAACUGACCUGGGUUUGAGAAUAAGUGUGAAAAAUUGAGAAGUUGCCAAAAAAA